rnacentral:lncRNA from 1 species
AGAACAAGCGGGAUGAAGUGUGUGGUUAUUAGAACAAACCAUGAGGGAAAAUCCUGUUCCUGACAUCAUCUUUGAAGAUUAAUUUUGCUGUUCUGUGGUGGCUCUGAUACCAUUGUGUUGACAAGUGACAAGAGGUAAGAAA